CACAUUCUAUAUUGAAACUGGGCCUGUGAUCCAGAAGGCCUGCUCUUAACUGGCUUCCGGUGGGGGCUCGCAGACAUCGACGGUGCCAAGCUCUAAGACGUCUUUCCCAGCUCUCCAAAUGUCUUGCACACCUCCCCUUCUCCACUGAAUUUGUGAUCAAGUGUUAAAUUUAAAGAUGCGGCAGCUGAGGCAUGGGGAGGCUAAAUAAUGUGCUUUGGCCUUGCUACCUAAGUCAAAGAGCAACAAGGUGGUGGAGCUGAAGUCUGAGUCCAAGAGGUUUGAACCCAAGUGGAUACUUUCAGCCACUUCACUGUAUAGUGUCCCUGGAAAAUGCUCACGAAGUAUUUACAAAUAAAUUAAUUAAUGGAUAAGUGGCCUUAUAUAUGGUCCAUUGCUAGGAGAGAAACAUGGAAGAAAAUGCUGGAGGGAGCGAAGAAAAUGCAGCAAGAGUUUACACAGCCAGAAUUGUGGAAUGAAAAGGAAAAGAGG